GACGAACGCUGGCGGCGUGCUUAACACAUGCAAGUCGAGCGACUGCAUUCUUUUCGGAGGGUGUAUGGAGCGGCGAACGGGUGAGUAACACGUGAGUAAUCUGCCUUUGGCUUUGGGAAUAACUUCGGGAAAUCGGGGCUAAUGCCUGAUGUUUACUGUCUGCUGCAGUGGUGGGUGGUGGAAAGAUUUUUUGGCCAGGGAUGAGCUCGCGGUCUA
rnacentral:rRNA from 1 species